rnacentral:rRNA from 1 species
GAUCCUGGCUCAGAACGAACGCUGGCGGCAGGCUUAACACAUGCAAGUUGAACGGGAUUUGUGUGGUGCUUGCACCAUAUAAUGAGAGUAGCGCACUGGUGAGUAACACGUGGGAACGUGCCUUUUAGUGGGGGAUAACAUCUGGAAACGGAUGCUAAUACCGCAUACGCCCUGAGGGGGAAAGAUUUAUUGCUAAGAGGUCGGCCCGCGGUAGAUUAGGCAGUUGGUGGGGUAAAGCCUACC